UACAGAGGUCCCAAGCGUUGUUCGGAUUCACUGGGCGUAAAGGGUGCGUAGGUGGUAAGGCAAGUCGGGUGUGAAAUCUCCGGGCUCAACCCGGAAAUGGCAUUCGAAACUACCUUGCUAGAGGGUUUGAGGGGGGACUGGAAUACUUGGUGUAGCAGUGAAAUGCGUAGAGAUCGGGAGGAACACCAGUGGCGAAGGCGGCCUUCUGGACCAGUACUGACGCUCAUGCACGAAAGCGUGGGGAGCAAACAGG
rnacentral:rRNA from 1 species